rnacentral:rRNA from 1 species
UACGGAGGGUACAAGCGUUAAUCGGAAUUACUGGGCGUAAAGCGAGUGCAGGCGGCUACGUCAGUCGGAUGUGAAAGCCCCGGGCUUAACCUGGGAAUUGCAUUCGAUACUGCGUGGCUAGAGUCUGGUAGAGGGAAGUGGAAUUCCAGGUGUAGCGGUGAAAUGCGUAGAUAUCUGGAGGAACAUCAGUGGCGAAGGCGGCUUCCUGGACCAAGACUGACGCUCAGGCUCGAAAGCGUGGGUAGCAAACAGG